GCUUCGGGCGGAGUGCUGUGGCAGGCACUCCAGGAAUGGAAGCGAACAGACCGUAACGUGACGGCCUCCGUCUGCCCGCCGGACGCCGC
rnacentral:ncRNA from 1 species